AGUACACACGGGCGGUACAGUGAAACUGCGAAUGGCUCAUUAAAUCAGUUAUGGUUCCUUUGGUCGCUCCUCUCCCGCUCCUUGGAUAACUGUGGUAAUUCUAGAGCUAAUACAUGCCGACGAGCGCCGACCUCCGGGGACGCGUGCAUUUAUCAGACCAAAACCAACCCGGGCCCGCCCGGCAGCUUUGGUGACUCUAGAUAACCUCGAGCCGAUCGCACGCCCCCGCGGCGGCGACGACCCAUUCGAAUGUCUGCCCUAUCAACUUUCGAUGGUACUGUCUGUGCCUACCAUGGUGACCACGGGUGACGGGGAAUCAGGGUUCGAUUCCGGAGAGGGAGCCUGAGAAACGGCUACCACAUCCA
rnacentral:rRNA from 1 species